UACGGGGGGGGCGAGCGUUGUUCGGAAUUACUGGGCGUAAAGGGCGCGUAGGCGGUUUCGGAAGUCAUGGGUGAAAGUCCUCGGCUCAACCGAGGGAUUGCCUGUGAAACCACGGGACUGGAGUGCUGGAGAGGGAAGCGGAAUUCCCAGUGUAGCGGUGAAAUGCGUAGAUAUUGGGAGGAACACCUGUGGCGAAGGCGGCUUUCUGGACAGACACUGACGCUGAGGCGCGAAAGCCAGGGGAGCGAACGGGAUUAGAUACCCCGGUAGUCCUGGCUGUAAACGAUGAACACUUGGUGUAGGGGGUGAAGAAAGUCCCUCUGUGCCGGAGAGAACUCGUUAAGUGUUCCGCCUGGGGAGUACGGCCGCAAGGCUGAAACUCAAAGGAAUUGACGGGGGCCCGCACAAGCGGUGGAGCAUGUGGUUUAAUUCGACGCAACGCGAAGAACCUUACCGGGGUUUGAACUGUACUUGAGCGACCUAGGGAUGGGGAGGUUCCUUUCGGGGACAGGUACAGAGGUGCUGCAUGGCUGUCGUCAGCUCGUGUCGUGAGAUGUUGGGUUAAGUCCCGCAACGAGCGCAACCCUUGUCUGUAGUUGCCAUCAGGUGAAGCUGGGCACUCUACGGAGACUGUCGGCGAGAAGCCGGAGGAAGGUGGGGAUGACGUCAAGUCCUCAUGGCCUUUAUGUCCCGGGCUACACACGUGCUACAAUGGGCGGUACAGAGGGCAGCGAACCUGCGAAGGCAAGCGAAUCCCAGAAAACCGCUCUCAGUUCGGAUUGCAGUCUGCAACUCGACUGCAUGAAGUUGGAAUCGCUAGUAAUUGCGGAUCAGAACGCCGCGGUGAAUACGUUCCCGGGCCU
rnacentral:rRNA from 1 species